ACCCCCUCGGCCCGCGCUGCGCCAGCACCACCUGCGGAGCUGCGGUGCCCACGCCGUGCCGCGACCCCGCCGCCCCUGCUCCCUCCACACGCGGGCAAACAAAACAAGUUGCCGGUCGCUGCCGCCGGAGGGGGCCGGGCGGGUCACUCACCCUCAUCCUGCUCAGCGGGCUUGGGUCGUCCGGCCGCGGGGUCAGGGAAGACCAGAGGACCACUAGCCCCAGGAAGCUUCCCACCACCAGCAAACUGCGUGGUGAAUUUGUAACCGAAAGGCCCAGGUGAGAUGUGCAAAUAUCACUGGAUUGGAGGAGCUCACUUGGAAAGCCAGUAUUCCUCCUGAGCUAAUGAAAAGAAAGGCUGUCGUCUUAUGCCAAAAGCAAUACCAACCUUGUUCACGGGCUGAGAUCUAGAGUGUGUAAUUCACGAAGUAUGAAUCUGCUGGGUAAUGUGAUAUGAAAAGCGAAUGCACCAUUUCUUGGUGAUGAUUCAGGUCAGCGUUGGGACCCAGGAAUCUCCUGUUAAUCAGUACCCUGGUGAUUUUGAUCCAGUUCCUCUAAAGAAGAGGGUAGAGACUAGAACUGAAUGAGAUGGACAUAGAGAUGGCCAAGAAAAGCAUCGUCCUCUGCCAAGUCAUGGGGUCAUGUGUGGUGGAUGGUGACAUGGUGUCCUCAGCUCAGAGUCCAGCUGGGGGCUCAGAAGCAAGGUAACUGAAGGGAGAGAAUUAUUUGAGCACCUAGUGUGUGUAAGAUGCUUCACAUUUAUUAUUUCACCUAACCUCUACACAACCUGUUGUGGGUAUUACUGGUCUCAAGCUGGGAUUCAAAGCAGGUUUUUCCAACCUCAGAAUUCUUGCCAGACUGAUUAGCCUUCUGCAUCUGGAACAUAAAUGUUUUCAGGCAGCAUAAUGUGCAAGAGGUCAGAGCCUAAAGCUUUGUUAUUUUUUAAUUUCUCCACCAUGUCAACUCUGUUACAGGGAAGCCCAGCAGAGGGAAUUG
rnacentral:lncRNA from 10 species